rnacentral:rRNA from 1 species
AUUGAACGCUGGCGGCAUGCCUUACACAUGCAAGUCGAACGGUAACGCGGGGCAACCUGGCGACGAGUGGCGAACGGGUGAGUAAUACAUCGGAACGUGCCCAGUAGUGUGGGAUAGCCCGGCGAAAGCCGGAUUAAUACCGCAUACGACCUAAGGGUGAAAGGGGGGGAUCGCAAGACCUCUCGCUAUUGGAGCGGCCGAUGUCAGAUUAGGUAGUUGGUGGGGUAAAGGCCCACCAAGCCAACGAUCUGUAGCUGGUCUGAUAGGACGAUCAGCCACACUGGGACUGAGACACGGCCCAGACUCCUACGGGAGGCAGCAGUGGGGAAUUUUGGACAAUGGGGGAAACCCUGAUCCAGCCAUGCCGCGUGCGGGAAGAAGGCCUUCGGGUUGUAAACCGCUUUUGUCAGGGAAGAAAAGCUCUAGGAUAAUACCUUGGAGUAAUGACGGUACCUGAAGAAUAAGCACCGGCUAACUACGUGCCAGCAGCCGCCGUAA